rnacentral:rRNA from 1 species
CCUACGGGAGGCAGCAGUGGGGAAUAUUGCACAAUGGGGGAAACCCUGAUGCAGCGACGCCGCGUGGGCGAAGAAGUAUUUCGGUAUGUAAAGCUCUAUUAGCAGGGAAGAAGCAAUUACGGUACCUUAGUAAGUAGCACCCGCCAAAGACGUUCCAGCAGCCGCGGUAAUUCGUAUGGUGCAAGCGUUAUCCGGAUUUACUUGGUUGAAAGGGAGCUCAGGCGGCACGGCAAGCCAGAUGUGAAAGCCCGUGGCGCAACCGCGGGACUGCAUUGGAAACUGCCGGGUUGGAGUACCGGAGAGGUAGGCGGAAUUCCUAGUGUAGCGGUGAAAUGCGUAGAUAGUAGGAGGAACACCAGUGGCGAAGGCGGCCUACUGGACAGUAACUGACGCUGAGGCUCGAAAGCGUGGGGAGCAAACAGGAUUAGAUACCCCAGUAGUC